rnacentral:rRNA from 1 species
GCGGAUUUCUUGCAGUGCAGACGGAGGCUCCACGUACGCUGUCCGCCACAUUUCUUGCAGUGCAGUGCAGGCCACCGAACCACCCGAAUCCACCACUAGCACCUGCGCUUCCACCACUGCUCCGGCGACGCAAGACGGCCGGCGGAGCGGAGAUGGCGGCGGCUCUCGGCGCGGCGGCCACGCUCCUCGGCAAGGUGUUCACGAUGCUGUCCGCCGCCCCGGUGGCGGCAUACGUGGACAGCCUCCAGCUCGGCCACAACUCCCAGCAGAUCAGGGCCAAGCUCGCGCACAUGCGAGGCAUGCUCCACAACGCCCAGGCCCAGGUGAGCCACAACCCUGGACUGCAGGAGCUGCUGCCGGCGCUGAGCAGGAACGCCGACCAGGCGGAGGACCUGCUGGAUGAGCUCCACUACUUCCAGAUCCAUGACAGGCUCCUUGGCACCACCUACGCCACCACCCAGGCCAAUUUUCUCCGUCAUGGUCGCAAUGCUCUCCGCCACACUGCCACUAGCAGCUGGGCCGCAUGCUUUUCUUGUUCCUCUGCACAAGAUGAUGAUGAUGAGUUACGUUUCCACCCAGUGAUCUUCUCCAGGAAAAUCAAGUCGGUGUUACAGGACAUGCAGACGCACUGUGAUUCCGUCUCCGAUUUGCUCGGCAAUAUCCCAAGCAACAGCAUGGCAGUCACCCUACACCGGCCGCAGAUUGGAUCCACAAUUAUACAAGAUACAUUGUAUGGCAGGAGACACACUUUUGAGGAAACUGUCAACCGUAUCAUCAGCUGCAAACACCCUGUUUCUGUUCUUCCUAUAGUUGGUCCAGGGGGUAUUGGAAAGACAACUUUCGUCCAACAUCUGUAUAAUGAUGCAAGGACUAAAAAGCACUUUCAUGUCCAGGUCUGGGUAUGUGUAUCCACUGAUUUCGAUGUGCUGAAGCUCACCAGAGAGAUCCUUGGCUGCAUACCUGCAACUAAAGGAGGAAGCAUCAGUGUUGCAAAUGAAACAACCAAUUUAAAUCAGCUUCAGAUAUCCAUAGCAGAACGUUUCAAGUCCAAGAGGUUUCUAAUUGUACUGGAUGAUAUAUGGAAAUGUGACAGCCAGGAUCAGUGGAAGACCUUGCUAGCUCCGUUCACAAAGGGGGAAGCCAAAGGAAGCAUGCUACUUGUCACAACUCGAUUCCCAAAGGUAGCAGACACGGUGAAAACAGUUGAUCCACUAGAGCUGCGAGGUUUGGAGCCUAAUGACUUCUUCACAUUCUUUGAAGCAUGUAUAUUUGGUGAAGAUGACAAGCCUGAGCAUUACAAAGAUGAGUAUGCUGGGAUUGCACGAAAAAUUGCAGACAAGCUAAAGGGUUCGCCGUUGGCAGCCAAAACAGUUGGUAGACUAUUGCACAAGGACCUUUCUCAGAAACAUUGGAAUGGAGUUCUUGAAAAGCAUCAGUGGCUAAAGCAGCAAAAGAAUGAUGAUAUCAUGCCAUCUUUGAAGAUUAGCUACGAUUGCCUCCCUUUUGAUCUGAAGAAAUGCUUUUCCUGUUGUGGCCUUUUCCCUGAAGAUCAUGAGUUUACUUCUUCAGAAAUUAAUAAGUUCUGGGUUGCAAUAGGCAUCAUAGACUCUAAUCACCAAGCCGAUAGGAAUUACCUGGAAGAACUAGUGGACAAUGGUUUUAUCAUGAAGAAAUUCGAUUAUUGGGGUGAUCAAUGCGAGUAUAUAAUGCAUGAUUUAAUGCACGAGCUAUCUAAGAGUGUUUCUGCACAAGAAUGCCUCAAUAUAAGUGGCUUAGAUUUCAGAGCUGAUGCCAUCCCAGAAUCUGUUCGGCACUUAUCUAUCAACAUAGAAGACAGAUAUGACGCAAAUUUUGAGCAAGAAAUGUGUAAACUAAGGGAGAGGAUAGACAUUGCUAGUCUACGCACUUUGAUAAUUUUUAGAGGAUAUCAAGAAAGAAUUGCCAAGCUUUUGAAAGAUAGCUUCAAGGAAAUAAAUAGCUUGCGUGUCCUAUUUAUAGUGGUGAAGUCUGCACAAUCUUUUCCAUAUAGGUUUUCAAAACUUAUCCACCUCCAGUACCUCAAAAUUAGUUCAUCUCUCGAUGGUGACAGGGAAAUUAGUUUACCUAGUACACUAUCAAUAUUUUAUCACUUGAAAUUCUUGGACCUAUAUAAUUGGGAUGGUCGUUCUGAUUUGCCUCAAGAAUUUUGCCACCUUGAGAAUUUACAUGAUUUCCAUGCUGAAAGUGAACUCCACUCAAAUAUUCGCAAUGUCGGAAAGAUGAAGCAUCUCCAGGAGCUAAAAGAAUUCCAUGUCAGGAAAGGGAGCAUGGGAUUUGAACUGACAGAGCUUGGGGCAUUGCCAGAGCUUGAAGGAGGAUUGACUAUAUGUGGUCUUGAACAUGUGGCAACCAAGGAGGAAGCUACUGCAGCCAAACUGAUGUUGAAAAGGAAUCUGGAGGAGUUGGGAUUAGUCUGGGGAAGAGAUGGACCAACUACAGAUCAUGCUGGUAUUCUUGAUGCUCUUCAACCACACUCUAAUCUUAGAGUACUUACAAUUACAAAUCAUGGUGGUGCCGUUGGUCCUAGUUGGUUGUGUCUUGACAUCUGGUUAACAAGUUUAGAGACUCUCGCUCUAACUGAUGUGUCUUGGAGCACCCUCCCACCUUUUGGGAAGCUACCAAAUCUCAAGGAACUCCAUUUGGAGAGAAAUUCUGGAAUUCAUCAGUUUGGGCCUCGAUGUGGUGGCGCUCCAGGCAAACGUUUUAUGCGCUUGAAGGAAGUUGGGUUUUAUGAUAUGCCAGAACUUGCUGAAUGGGCUGUGGAACCUAAUUGUUGUUCCUUUCCAAGUCUUGAAAAAAUCGAAUGCAUCGGUUGUCCCAAUCUCCGUGUGAUGCCCUUGUCGGAGGUAUCUUGCACCAAUUUGCGCAGUCUUCGAGUUUCUAGGUGCCCCAAGAUAUCUCUGCCCUCCAUGCCUCACACCUCCACACUGACAGAUUUGGUUGUUAAAACAGGUGAUUCAGAGCCGUUGUUGUCUUAUGAUGGAAAGAAAUUGAUUGUUAGAGGGUAUGGGGGUACUUUGGCCUCCCACAAUCUGGAUAAAGUAGAAUACAUGGAUGUCAGAAGAUACAACAUUUUGUUCCCUGAAGAGCUGGAUGGCAGUAUUGUCUUCCGUUUAGUUAAGAGUCUGCAGUUACAUGUAUCUCAUCUUAGCAGUAGCAAAUCAUCAUCGUCAAAAGUGUUAAACUGUUUCCCAGCUCUUGCUGUGUUGCACAUAGAUCACUGUGAGGAGGAAUGUGUAAUGCAGUUCCCAUCAUCCAGCUCACUGCAGAAUCUUACCUUCUGGGAGUGCAAGGGCCUGGUUCUUGUGCCUGUGGAGAAGGAGAAUGGAGGAGGAAUUCAGGAGGACAAGUCAUUGCUUCGAUCAUUAACAAUAUGGGGAUGUGGCAAAUUGUUCUCUCAGUGGCCCAUCGGAGACUGCCCUUUCCCUGCUUCCCUGAGGAAACUUGAUGUUUACCACGAGCCAAGCAUGAAGUCAAUGGCUCCGCUCUCAAAUCUCACGUCUCUCACUAGUCUAAGGUUAAAAAUCUGCCAUAAUUUAUCAGUGGACGGAUUCAAUCCUCUCAUCGCAGUCAACCUCAUACAACUGGACGUGCAUAGGUGCAAGACCUUAGCAGCAGAUAUGCUCUCAGAGGUGGCAAGGACCAAAUUGUUCCCUGCAGGUUCAUUCAGAUUGGAGAAACUCAAUGUGGAUAACAUUUGUGGAUUGCUUGUUGCUCCUAUUUGCAACCUCCUCGCUCCGGCCCUCCACACACUUGAAUUCAGUUCUGACGGGAGGAUGGAAAGCUUCACGGAGGAGCAAGAGAAAGCGCUGCAGCUCCUCACCUCUCUCCAGAAUCUAACAUUUUCCGAAUGCGAGGGUCUGCAGUCCCUUCCUCAAGGGUUGCACCGCCUUUCUUCUCUCAAGGAGUUAUGUGUUCUUAACUGUCCAGAAAUCCGAUCGAUGCCCAAGGAGGGUCUCCCUGUUUCGCUGAGAAAACUACGGAUGGAUCGUCGCAGUCGCAGCGCUGAGAUAGACGAGCAAAUUGAGAAAAUCAAAAGAACCAACCCAGAUUUAUCCGUCUCUUGAAGACUACUAGCAGGUUCCACUCCACUCCACCACUGUUGCAAUCAAUGUUUUGUGCACACAAGUUGGCAAACCUGCACAAUAAUCAGCAGGUGCGAGAUACAACUGACUCUUCAUUCUGCAUGCAACGCUAGCUGUUAACUAUAUGAUCGAUACAACACAUUGUGCUACAUGAUCGAUAUUUCUCUGCAAGUCAAAUCUGCCGGUUAUGGCUUCUGUUACCUAUGUAUGUGAAAUAAAAAAGGGCGUGCGAGACAUGACUCACUCACUCACUUGGUACCAAUCAAGAAGAAGACUUGAGUCGUAGCUGCAAGAAGUGAUCGAGGCUGGAAUCAUGGAAUUGAAUUAUCAGGCUUGUGCUCCUUUUUCGCAUGAAGCAGAGGAUGCUGCUGCUGCUUUGUAAAAAAGCACCUGAUAUAUCAUUUAUGUAGCAGAGAGUGCAUUUGUUUUACAUAAUGAGUCUCUCUGCUCUGAAGCUACUCAGAAUUGUUGGAUGUCCAAGUCUGAUUGAGAAGGUGCCAAGGGGAGGAUGCCCACAAGAUUUGUCACAUCCCCAAUGUCAAAUUCAGCUGAGCUGGUGCACAGAAUUUUUGGUCUCUUGCUCAGAUCAGGAGUAGAACAGGGUGGAAGUUAUGGAUAUCAUGGCUGCGGCAGAGUAAUUCCAUCUCAACCCUCUGCCCUUUGGUUGGAGGACAACGAGGUGGAGAGCAAAAGGGCCACAGCCCGUUCCAUUAUCGAAGAAUGAAACAACAGAUUUUACAUCGUUAUUACAGCUCCAGUUUGUGUUGUGAAACUUUACCAAGCAAAGCCAGAAGAGGAAAAACUGCAUGCAAAUGCAGCAAUAGACAGAAAAAAAAAAAGAGAGGAGAUGCUUAGCCAUUUUACGAAAUUGUUGGGUAUAGUCGCCCGGUGGAUACCAACAACAAGUAUUGGAAGCUGUUCUGUUGGUCCCUGCUGCUGCUGCUGCAGAGGAGGCUUACGUCCCAGUCUCGCGGAAGAUAAGUUUACCAAUGCCAAAAAAAUUGAGGCGGAGCUCAAGGAAGUGAGCCAUAUCUAGGGAGCAGCUUCUUUCAGACAAAGCUCGAUCAGUAUGGUUCAUUCGCAAGAAGAGGAGCAUACGUUUUGAUGGCGGAAGAGCUCUCGAGUCCUGACUGACUAAUGUUGUUUUAGUCAGGUAAUGAUCUGGCCAAUAGUUAUUACUGUUGUGAUUCAGAGAGGAAUUAAACGUCCUGGUUCUGCCUCGAUCUGCCCGAAGAGAAGAGAAGAAACCCUGCUAUACAUUUGCUGUCAGCUCUGAGGCCAAGACCCGCGCAUCUUCAGCCUCAGCAUCACAGAUCCUGCUGGUCAGUUGCUUCAUGGUGCUUCAGCCUUUAGGUGACUCGGGCGCUGUGGCGCCCAAGGAAUGGAAGACUGAAAUAUCUUCGAGCAGGCAAUUUUCAUUGUGCCAUAACAUCCAGCUGGCACCCACAUGACUGACACGGCUGUUCUGGGCUUUCUGUAUUUCGCUCAAGAUCAAUUUUCACAAUGAGAAAAAUGACUGACUGAUGUUGUUCUCCUCUACUAGUGCUUGUCAGAGAUUACUGUCGUGAUUCAGAAAGGAAUUAAACGCCAUGGUUAUGCUUCUGCCAGAGGAGAGCAGCCCCUGCUCCUGUUGUAUAUAUAUUCCCCGGCAGCUCUGGGCCAUGACCCAUGGUCCUGGUCAGUUGCUUGAUGGUGCUCACUGGGAGCAGCCAUGCCAUGCAAAUUGGGAACAUAUUUACUUAUUCGUCUGGUUUUGUAAAGUCAUUUAUUUGUAAAUAAAGGUUGUCGAUGGUUCAUUGUCAAACAAAUCUCAUCAGACAAAAUAAAUUUCGUCCAUCCUCAUCACCUGAUGUUGUUUUGUAACUGAGCCCUUCCAUUUUUCUUGCAACAACACUUAGCCAUGCCGCGAGCUAUCUGAACAUGUUUUGUACUUGAACAUUCUUACAUCCAAACCCCCUUUCCAGAA